rnacentral:rRNA from 1 species
AGUGAACGCUGGCGGUAGGCCUAACACAUGCAAGUCGAACGGCAGCACAGUAAGAGCUUGCUCUUACGGGUGGCGAGUGGCGGACGGGUGAGGAAUACAUCGGAAUCUACUUUUUCGUGGGGGAUAACGUAGGGAAACUUACUCUAAUACCGCAUACGACCUACGGGUGAAAGCAGGGGAUCUUCGGACCUUGCGCGAUUGAAUGAGCCGAUGUCGGAUUAGCUAGUUGGCGGGGUAAAGGCCCACCAAGGCGACGAUCCGUAGCUGGUCUGAGAGGAUGGUCGGCCACACUGGAACGGAGACGCGGUCCAGGCGACUACGGGAGGCAGCAGUGGGGAAUAUUGGACAAUGGGCGCAAGCCUGAUACAGCCAUACCGAGUGGGUGAAGAAGGCCUUCGGGUUGUAAAGACCUUUUGUUGGGAAAGAAAAGCAGCAGGUUAAUACCACGCUGUUCUGACGGUACCCAAAGAAUAAGCACCGGCUAACUUCGUG